GUGUUUUUCUUAUUCUAAACAAAACAUUAUCUGCCACGAGCACCUCAUCUCUUCCCGCUUCUACUGAUUGUCGUCUCAUAUACCACCAUCCUCAAAAACCGUCAAACAGCGCUCGUCACGCCACCGUGAAUUUGGUUAUGGCUAGAUCUCCAGAUCAAAUAACUUUCUGGGAGCAUGUAUACUUUGAUUCUAUGAUUCACGGCGGCGAGGAAGACUAAUUGAAGAGGAGGCCGGUGUUGGAUUGUCGUCGGAAAUAGAGUUAGUUGUGUGGUUCAGUAAUUUAGAAAAUAGAUCGGCAGAUGCAGAUUUUAGAAGAUUAUAUUUAUGAUGAUGAAUGAUGAAAUCGUUGGUAGAAGAAGAUGGAAAAAAAAAGUUGAAGAUGCAGUGAAAUUGAUACUUUCUCUCUCUCACGUGCUGAAUUCAUAGGGGCAAAAGCGUCAGUCUGUGUUCACUUUGCUACAGGAAUUGGUAUUUUACAGUUAGUGGGCUAGUUUCCUAAUUUUGUUCUCAUUCGUGUAUAUAUGGCAAAUUAUCUCUUUAAUAAAUUUUUAAAUUAAUAUAUA